AUGGACCCCAACUGCUCCUGUGCCGCUGGUGACUCCUGCACCUGUGCUGGCUCCUGCAAGUGCAAAGAGUGCAAAUGCAAGUCCUGCAAGAAAAGCUGCUGCCCUGUGGGCUGUGCCAAGUGUGCCCAGGGCUGCGUCUGCAAAGAGACAUCGGACAAGUGCAGCUGCUGCGCCUGA